rnacentral:lncRNA from 12 species
CACAGGCAAGAAUCGUGACAAAUCUGUUCCUCAUUACUGUGGUCAGCUUUGACUAUCGCAUCUAAAUUCUGUUCUCUGGAUCACGAAUGAUUCGUGCCAACAUAGACGAAUUUAGGUAGAUCGGGGGCACAUUCCCUUCAGAAACAAAGAACACCUCAAUCGCUCAGGAUAUAUUCGUGUUUACAUCUGCUCCAGCGUUGAAACAAUGGCAGACUGAUGACGGCUCACUCAGGGCGGGUCUAAGGGGACCUGUUAACCAGG